rnacentral:lncRNA from 1 species
CCCACACACAUCACACACCUCACCCGUGCGGGUUAGGGAAGCCCGCACGUGCUCGUGCGGCUUAGGCCGAGCCUGCAUGCACGCAGCCAUCAGGCCUUAAGGCUCCACAACUUGCUCGAGUUUCUCCUCAACUGGGCCUGCGGCUGCUGCUAGGCUAGGGUACUGGGCCAACUCGCUGGGCUAGACAUUCGGCCCAGUUUCUUCUCCCUCAAG